UUGAACGCUGGCGGCAUGCCUUACACAUGCAAGUCGAACGGCAGCGCGGGAGCAAUCCUGGCGGCGAGUGGCGAACGGGUGAGUAAUAUAUCGGAACGUACCCAGUAAGCGGGGGAUAAGCCGGCGAAAGUCCGAUUAAUACCGCAUACGCUUCUACGGAAGAAAGCUGGGGGAUCUCAGGACCUCAUGCCUAUAGGAGCGGCCGAUAGUCUGAUUAGCUAGUUGGUCGGGUAAAAGGCCUACCAAGGCGACGAUCCGUAGCUGGUCUGAGAGGAUGAUCAGCCACACUGGGACUGAGACACGGUCCAGACUCCUACGGGAGGCAGCAGUGGGGAAUUUUGGACAAUGGGCGCAAGCCUGAUCCAGCCAUGCCGUGUGAGUGAAGAAGGCCUUCGGGUUGUAAAGCUCUUUCGUCAGGGAACGAAAUGGUUCGGGGCUAAUACCACUGGACUAAUGACGGUACCUGAAGAAUAAGCACCGGCUAACUACGUGCCAGCAGCCGCGGUAAUACGUAGGGUGCAAGCGUUAAUCGGAAUUACUGGGCGUAAAGCGUGCGCAGGCGGUUUCUGUAAGUCUGAUGUGAAAUCCCCGGGCUUAACCUGGGAACUGCGUUGGAGACUGCAAGACUGGAGUGUGGCAGAGGGGGGUAGGAAUUCCACGUGUAGCAGUGAAAUGCGUAGAGAUGUGGAGGAACACCGAUGGUGAAGGCAGCCCCCUGGGUUCAAGCACUGACGCUCAUGCACGAAAGCGUGGGGAGCAAACAGGACUAGAUACCCUGGUAGUCCACGCCCUAAACGAUGUCUACUAGUUGUCGGGGUAUUAACUGCCUUGGUAACGAAGCUAACGCGUGAAGUUAGACCGCCUGGGGAGUACGGUCGCAAGAUUAAAACUCAAAGGAAUUGACGGGGACCCGCACAAGCGGUGGAUUAUGUGGGUUAAUUCGAUGCAACGCGAAAAACCUUACCUACCCUUGACAUGUACGGAAUCUCCCAGAGAUGGGAGGGUGCCCGAAAGGGAACCGUAACACAGGUGCUGCAUGGCUGUCGUCAGCUCGUGUCGUGAGAUGUUGGGUUAGGUCCCGCAACGAGCGCAACCCUUGUCGUUAAUUGCCAUCAUUUAGUUGGGCACUUUAACGAGACUGCCGGUGACAAACCGGAGGAAGGUGGGGAUGACGUCAAGUCCUCAUGGCCCUUAUGGGUAGGGCUUCACACGUAAUACAAUGGCCGGUACAGAGGGCUGCCAACCCGCGAGGGGGAGCUAAUCUCAGAAAGCCGGUCGUAGUCCGGAUUGUUCUCUGCAACUCGAGAGCAUGAAGUUGGAAUCGCUAGUAAUCGCGGAUCAGCAUGUCGCGGUGAAUACGUUCCCGGGUCUUGUACACACCGCCCGUCACACCAUGGGAGUGGGUUUCACCAGAAGUAGGUAGUCUAACCGCAAGGAGGACGCUUACCACGGUGAGAUUCAUGACUGGGGUG
rnacentral:rRNA from 1 species